rnacentral:rRNA from 1 species
AUGGACCCAGCGUUGCAUAAGGCGGCGGUUCAAGGUAGCGUAGCAAGCCUGAGGGAGCUGGUGGCCGAGCGUCCCGGCAUCCUUGGUUCCAAGACGCCCCAUGGGAACACCGCGCUGCACAUCGCCGCCGAGCUCGGCCAUGCCGGUUUUGCCGAGGAGGCCCUUGGUGUGGACGACAAGCUGCUCGUCAGCAGGAACGCCGACGGCGACACACCGCUGCACGUGGCGGCUAGGGUGGGGAAGGUGGACGUUGUGGACCUGCUCAUCGUCCGAGCAUGGGUAUGGCAUGCGGAGCAUCCGCACUACUUCCCCGCCGCACAGAAUGGACAGACCGGGGAACCUUCCCGGAGCCCCCCUCGCAGCGCGCACGGGCCUCUGUUGAUGGCCAACAAGGCCGGCGACACCCCGCUCCACGAGGCGGUGAAGCAUCGCAGGAGCGCCGUCGCGCUCAGGCUGCUGGAAACCGAGCCAGGCCGCGGCCACGUGCUCAACGUGAAGCAGCAGACGCCGCUACACAUCGCCGCGCGGGAGGGCCUCUACGACGUCGUGGCCAAGAUCGUCAGCCAGCCCUGUGAACACGACAGGUUUUUCCCCUCCGUCAGCGGCUCCGCCCUGCACCAGGCCGUCCUCAGCGGCCACGAACGCGUGGUGGAGAUCUUGCUCGACGUGACGCCGCCGGAUCAGAUCGGGCUGACGGACUCGAGCGAGAACAACGCGCUGCACUACGCGGCGCAGAAGAACAACGCCCGCGUGGUGAAGCUGCUGCUCAACCGGAAGGUGGACCUGGCCUACAAGCGCAACCGUGACCUGCAGUCGCCGCUGCACAUGGCCGCCUACUACGGCUCGACCAAGGCCAUGGCGGAGCUGCUGCUGCAGUGCCCUGAUGCGGCGGAGAUGGUGGACGCCAGCGGCAGGAACGCGUUGCAUGUCGCCAUCACCAUCGGCAAGGUGGACGUGCUCCGCUGCCUCCUCAAGCUGGUGCGCCCCGAGGACACUAUCAACCAUGUCGACCGCGACGGCAACACGCCGCUUCAUCUGGCGGCCAAGUUUAAUCGAGCACCGCUUGGCCUGCUGCUGCUCAAGGACCGCCGGGUGAACCCAUGCGUCCUCAACCGCAACGGCCGCACCGCUCGGAGCUUUAUCGAGACACAAACACCAGUGGAUAACCUCACGGUAAUUUAUGUCUACUUCUGGAAGGAGCUAAAGAAGCAAGAAUCCAUCAAAUGCAAGGCGCAACAGCUGCCCCCUGAAACAACGCCUGAUUGGUUGCAGGACCUCAACCAGUACGUGCAGCAAAGGAUGGGGACCUACACUCUCGUGGCAACUCUCAUCGCAACGGUCACCUUCUCUUCAACCUUCACCAUGCCCGGCGGGUACGACCAGCAGGAUGGCACGGCCAUCCUUGGCCACCGGCCAGCAUUCAAACUGUUCGUCUUCGCGAAUACCCUGGCAAUGCUAACGUCAAUCGUCGUUGUCUUCGGCUUCAUCUGGGCAAGAAGGGAGCAGCUGGAUUUUAGGACCGGCAGGGUCAUAGCUUGGAGCCAUUGGCUCACCGUCAUCGCCUGCCUCUCCAUGGUCGCGUCCCUGACCACCUCUGUCUACCUCACCGUCGUGGCAAAGGCACCGUGGCUCGCGUAUAUAGUCAUUGUGAUGGGUUGCAGCACUCCUUUCGUGAUGUUUCUGAUGUUGGGCAAGGACUUGUUCGCCACACGAGUGUAG